rnacentral:lncRNA from 1 species
AGUAGCUGGGACUGUAGACCCAGGCCACCACCACACCUAAUUUUUUUUUCUUUUUUAGACACAGAGUCUUGCUGUGUUGCUCAAGCUGACCUCCAACUUCUAGGCUCAAGUGAUCCUUCCACCUCGACCUCCCGAAGUGUUGGAAUAACAGGUGUGAGCCUGCACCCCAGCCUAAUUCCACCAUUAAUUUGUCUCAGCAACUCCUUUGUUGCCAACUUUUACCGGACCCAUGGGUCUGAAAGAGAAGCACAGUCCAUAGUGUUCCAGCUUUGAGUGUGGCUCUCUCAGAAGCAGACCCAUUUACUGUUGUCCAGUGGCCUGCCAAGACCUUUAGGUGAAGAUGCUGACUCCCUCGCCGGCUCUUCUUCAUUCUUUUCAAACACACGUCAGAGUGGAACGCACAUCCCUUUUGCUUCACCUUCCAGGGAGAGAACGAGUCUUGAAGCAUCAACAGCUCUUUGAACACUUCCCAGGAAGACUAUUCAAGGACAUGUCUACUGGAAUCAGAAUUUUUUCCUUGGAGAUGGAGAGCUCCAAAACCCACAGUGCUUGGAAGUGAGUAUUGUGUGGUUGGAGAUAGUUUGCAGACUUUAGAUGGUAGCUGUGGAUGGUGAACUGAAAGUCAUCCUCAGCUUAAUGAUGAGUUGUCAUUUAUAAAAGAUAUCCAAAUUUUUUAUUGCAAUUAUUGUAUAGAAGUGAUCUCACAUCUGUUCUCCUUUUCUCUGCCUCCCAAAGGUAUUAUACAGAAACACAUUGUACAAAAUGUUACUCUUUGAGGAGUUUCAUUUGUUUCAUUACUUUUUUUCUUUGUACCUUUUAUAAAAUUUUAAAAUGGU